rnacentral:lncRNA from 1 species
AUACUGAUAACAAUGGACGUUAAUCCUGCUUGACAUCUACACUUGCAGGUUUAAUAGGUUCUACUUGAGCUGGUUCAGUAUCGGCCUCAACCUGCCAUAACAUUAAGGUUUGGAGUUAAAAUUAUAUUCAUAAAGUUUAUGAAGUUGAAGCAUUCAUACAAAAAUACAAACAUAAUACAGCGCACGCAUGAUGCAACACCUCUGAUGUGUGUUCCAUGAGCGUUUACAAUCACUCGUUUUCUUUUAAAAUGUUUGAUAAGUAUGUAAAACAUUAAGAAUAAGUGAGUGUGGAUACUCUUUAUACAGAUUGCUUCUGACUUAAUUGGAUAUCACUCCAGGAAUUUCACGUCAAUCACCCUGUUUAUUUAUAAGGAUUAGGUUUUCCACUUUUCCUUAUUGCAUAUCAUAUUGUUGAUGGCAGCUCCAGAACAAAUCACAAAUCAAGAUAGUGCCAUGCAUAUGCUAGGCAACAAGAUUCAGAACCAAUACCAGAUCUAAAUUCUAACUCCAGUUAUAAGCUAUAAGAGAUAAGCUUGAAAGUAGAAUACAAAAUAUCAUUUUGUUCAACAGCUUUCCAUAACAUUAUGUAUUCAAGUUACUAAAGAGACACUGAGGAGAUUAAUGGGGUUCAUGACCCAGUACACCAUUGGCUAUUUCCUGUAAACAGUGUUAAUUCUCUCUUACCAACCAGGAUGAAAUCAUGGACAACUACGCUACUAGAAAUUCAAAGAAUUUACCUUAAAAAUGAGCACAAAUCCUCUAUCAUUAUAAUUAAAAUGGGAUUUCUCAUUAUGAUGCACUUAAAAUUUUGGUUUGGAGAAAGUUUGCGCCACUUCAAUUUCAUGGAAUGCCCCCACAACUCAUUAGAUGCUCAUAAAAAAUACAUUUACAAGUGAGUUGCUAACAAAAUAAUCAAGGAAUCUAACCCGAGUUAUAGUGAAGUUUGAGCAUUAAGUAAACUAGAUGAGCGAACUCACGUUGGGUUCUAUUUCUAACCACUACCUCGUUGAGCUCAAGCAGCAGAGAUUGUUAGCCAUCAGUCCAAGGUGUUUUUUUCCCCCAAGGGAAAGAAGGGAACUAAUCCUUUUCGAGCACAAUCAAGCAUUCUCUCCACAACUAGAACCUAGAUUUUCCCCAUUGCCGUAGAGUGCCUCUACUACUACACCGUAACCCUUGGUGAUAAAGGUCCUAGGAUCAAUUAAGGUUAACUAAUGAUUUGCCAAUUAUACACCCCAAAGGAAAAUGAAAAAGGAAACAAAGAUAGCUUCUUCACUCUUAAUUUUGUAAAAAGGAAUUAAACCCCCCAGUCCCCAUGGUUGUUAACAACAGAUAAGUUGAAGUUCACACCUCAAGUUAAACAAUAACAAGGGCAAAUUCAAAGUUCAAACAAUAUCCUAUUGCAUAGCUGUAUAUCAUAAACCAGUUGCAAUAAUAAUAAUAAUAAAAUUCAUUCAUCAUCGCUUACUUUAGCAGUAUCCCUCUUGGCUGCAGGCUUGUAUGGACAUGCUGCAGGAGCCCUCUCUGGUUUCCUAUACUCCCAACCAAAAAGCCUAUAGAUUUUCCCCUUUUGAAAAAAAAAAAACCAUAAGCAUCAAUGUUAGAACCAAUUACAAAAACAACACAAAUAUAUGAAGCUUAAAAAUUACUAUGUUUUAAGGCUUUAGUACACAUUAAUUAAUUAAACAAAAAAAUAUUCACCAGCAUAGAAAAGAAUUUUGCUUACUAAAUUGUAAAAUAACUACCAUGAGUUAAUUCAGAUCACUAAAGUAAAGGUGAAAUUGAGAUAAUAGUUACUACAUUUUAGUUGAAACUCCAAACUAACAAAUAUUCAUGGAUUUCAAUUUGUUCAGAAGAGUAACCAACCAUAAAUCCAUACUGCACUCAUCGGAUCAGAAUGAGAGUGAGUGAGAGAGAGAGAUGUGAGAUUAAAUGAUUUGAUGUGAUAUGUACUAUACUGAGUUGAAUCGCAAAUCAAUCUCUAUUAGGAGCAUUGCCACUUAUAAGAUCUAUUUUUCUUGUAAACUAGAGAGCAGUGCUCACUCUGCGUAGGUUCAUAGAAGCAUUAGUGCUAUGCAGCUUCCCUCUGAUGUAUUUGGUUAUGUGUAUCUUUCUUCUUAUUCUUCGUUCUUAAUAGUCAAAACCAUAUCUAAGGAUGAAAAAAUAAGAAUUAGAGUUGGGGUGAGAGUUAUAUUCAUGAUUGAAUAUAUUUUGUGUUGAACUUAUUUUAUUUUCCCUCCCUAUUUUGAGUGGUGGCAAAAUGUUUUUCUAAGUUGUUUUAUUUUAUUUUCUAUAAAAAAUGUUAGAGAAUUAUUAGAAUUUAUUAUUCUUAGCCAUCAGUUAGUCAUCAAUGUUUAAAAAUACAAAAUGAUGUAUGUUAUAUCACUAAACUAAAAGAAUUAAAUUGAUGACUAAGUAAUGGUCAAAAACAAUAAAUUCUGAUAGUUUCUUAGCAUUUCUCAUUUUCUAUUUCUUUUUCGGGCACUCGGGCUGCUUAGUUAGAUAAAGCCUCAAAUUAAUUCUAAAAUAUACAUCAUCUCAAAUAUUACUGUAAUCCUAACAAUAGAAAAAUUGCUCGUUUUAUAUUGUAAUUUAUUCAUUUUUCAGCCUCCCAUGUUAUAGAAAAAGAACAAGCAUAAUUACACGCCAUUUUCCAAGUGAGAAGUAAGCCUGAUGAGAAAAUAGAGUGCGUUAUUAAGCCAAACACAAGAAACAUGAAGCUAGUGUCGGCAAAACUAUUUUAAGGAACUUGCUUUUGCUUCAUCUUUAACAUACCAUAAACCGAUGAAAGCUAAUUUUAUACGCGGGAUGCAAAAACGAAAUGAACAUGAUGCGAAUAUAUUUCACUAUCUUAUGACAAAUCAAUAAAUUUAACGUCAGCAACCUGGAAUGCUGGUCCCCAUUACUAUAAUCAGAUAAUCCACAUGCUACACAUUUCCGGCAUCCUGUACAUGCAAAAAAAUUAAUCAUGCCAGUAAUAAGUGGGGGAAAAAAAUUCUAUUUGGUUACGAAUUUCUCGCUAAUCAUUGAGUUAUCUUGCAAACCAAUUACUUUUACUUUCCUCAUUCUGUCUCUGUCUUUCCAGCUAAAGGCGGAAGAAAGGAUAAUGGUUUCUAUAAAGGGAAAAUCGUGUUACCCUUUGAUGAUACUGCUUGCCACCCAAUGCUGCCUAUUCCUUAGUAUCUUCUACCUCUUGAUGAAGUUGGUGAAACGAAUAUAGGAAUGACGAUCGCAUAUUUGCCAUUUCUACUAGUGUCUCUAGUGCUGCAAAGAAUUUCAUUCGACAGAAUGUGUUAUAUCCUGGUUAUCAGCACAUUUGCAAGGGAAGCAAGGAGAUUUAAGAUCAUCAAUUCUUAAUUCUUAUAUGUCUACCUCUCUCAAAUGACAUUUGGGCGGCUCGAAGCUUUGGCGGAAUUAAAAUUCCAAAGACUGACAAUGACUUCGCUCGCUCCCUUCGAACCUGUGAAUAUCACCAACAACAUUUAUACAAUAACUCAAUUCAAAGCUUAGAAACUUGUACAAGGGAAAUGUCUAUAAUUUGUUCACUCCAUGAUUCCAUCAUGGUAGCAAUGAUAUUAAUAACAAUCCAGUGCAAGAAGAAGAAAGUGUAGAAUACUUACUACUACAUCAUCAUCAUCUGCGAGUUCUGAAAAUUUCUUUGCAAUGGUCACCUCAGCAGUUUGUACAACCACCAUGUAUAAGAAAAUUAGAAACAUCUAACAGAAGUACUUAAAAGUACACAGCAGCAGAAUCAAAUAACAAAUGAAGCAGAAGUUUGGUUGUUUCAUUUAAAAAUAUGGUUAAAUUAGCACAACCCUCGUUACUCAGGUAAGAAUGCCAUACCAGAAGAUUUGGUGCUAUUACUAUCUUCAUCUUCUUCAACUUCUUCAGAGGAUACCCAUUUACGCAACACGAACCAUGCUUUUGCAUCUACCGAGUCAACUUCAAUAUUCAAACAGAUAAAUAAUCAAGAAGUACACAGCAAAAGGAUUGAACAAUUACCACCAUGUUCCCCUAUAAAAACACAAACUUUACCAUCAUAUUCGGUAAUCUUCAACGUUGUAGAAGCUGGAUGGAAUUUGAGGUCCAAAAGAGAAGUAUUAAGGCGUGCAGUUCCCAUGGAAUGCCUCGCACUCGCUAAUUCCAUCCAUGCCUGUCCAAAAUUAGGGCAAGUGAAUUGCAGAUUUGUGAGAAGAUUUUAGUUUUUUAGGGAAUUAGGAAGAAGAAUGAAUACCUACUUGUCCAAGUGUGGAAGAGAGAGAGUGAGAGAGGGAAAGAUAGCUAUUAAGCGAGUCCAUGAAUUGCAACACGAGUUUCUCUUCAGCUCCAGGCUGGAGUCGCACUUCCCGUCGAUUCUCAACUUCAACCCCCUCCUGCGGCGGUUCUUGAUCGCCGCCACUUUCGGGAAAGAGAUGCCGUUCCUCCAUGAAAGUUAGUUAGUUCACAAUUCCAGCCUCCGAUCUCUGCAACGCUUGUUUGAUCUCAAUCUUCCAUCAUUUUCCAAUGACCUACAAAAAAGAACAACCAAAGUAUUCAUCUAUUCCAAAGUACCAUUCCCUCAUCCACCGAGUUAAAGCCCACGGCAAAAGAAAAGAAUGGAAAAGCGAAUAGGUAAAAGAAAUAAAGAGAGGGAGAAUCCAAGAGAAUCUAACCAGCUGACUUCUGAAACGUUACAAUCUUUUCAACAUAGCAAUAAAAUCACAACGACAAUAAAAUCACAACGAUAAUAGCAACUUACCCACCAAGAUUUAAUUGGUGAAGGCUGCAAAAGUAAAUAGACAGGAAAACACCAAGAUUUUAUCAAGUGUUGAUGCAGCGACUUGCGCGGCGGCGGCAGAUUGCGCGGCGGCGGCAGAUUGCGCGGCGGCGGGCGCAGGUUGCGGCAGCGAGGGGAAGAGGAAGAUAUUGAGAUUUGGAGUAGGGGAAGAGGGAGAGAGAGACGGGGAUUGAAAAUCCUAGCGGAAGUUGAUAAAGAGAGGAAAACCCUAGCAGACCUCUUUUCUCUAAAUGCCUUUGAAUUUGAAAAUAAAAGAAAAAGGGGACAAAGUUAAAAACCAAUAAUUUAAGGGGUCAAAAUUUAAUUAAUAAAUUUUUCAAAAAAAAAAAAUGGGGUACAUUUUAUAAUUAUUUUUAUGAUGGUUAAUGAUAAACCUACAAAAAUGUGGGAGCAAGGAAUCCAUGGCCGUGGAUUAUAGUUGGGAAAAAGAAAAGAUCGAUUUAACUUUAAAGGGGGUUUAAACAUGGGAGGCCUAACACUUAAUUUUUCUCAUUCCCUUUAAAAAAAUUUCAUUAAUGCGAUCAACCACAACUGAAUCAUUACUUUUAAAAUAUUCACAGAGUAGGCUCCUUCAAGCCAUUACGUAUAUAUAUCUUCUUGCUUUGUUCUUUUCCACUUUAAUCAAGGUUCAAAGUAGGUUGAAAUUUGAAACUUUGUUGUUUCUUAGUGUAUCAAUUAUAUUCAAUUAACAUAAUUUCCUUUUAUUUUAAACCGUGUAGAAUAAGGAAGAAGAUUGACGAAAUAAUCACAACCCACCCACAAAACAGCAACACAGCAGAAUACUAAACAAAGCAUUAACAAAAUUAAAAAAAUGAAGAUCAAGUGAGCAAGCACUGACCUUCGAUCUGAGGCGGCGAGCAGAAUUACCAGAUGAAUCAGCACAAACACAAACCCAAAAUCACAACACAGUUCAAUAACAAGUAGCACAAACACAAAUCACAAACACAACAAAAAGAAGAACAGAGCAGUGAGCAGUUAAAAAAAGAGAGAACAGAGCAGUGAGCAGAAAGCUAGAAACAGAGCGCGUGAAAAAAAAAUGAAGAACAGAGAGCAGUGAGCAGGCAGUGCUGACCUUCGGUGACCAGACUAAGACGACGGCGCGAGCAGAGGGAAGACGAGGAAGACGGCGAGCAGAAGACAGGCGAAGACGACGAACACCCAGAGUGCAGACGAAGACGACGACGGUGAGUCAGACGAAGAUGAAGCUGUUCGGCGAAGGGGCUAGGGCUUAGUGUGCAAAGGCUUCCACGGUUCGAAGAGAGAGAAAGUGAAGGACUGAAGUGAAGGCUGCUUUUUUCUUUAUUUGAACCCUAAACGUACAACGACGCCGUUUAUUUGACUGAAGGUUGCUUUUGAAUUGAUCUCUCGUUUUUUGUAAAUAUUUGAUAAAACUAAUAAGUAAAGCUUACUAAUUAAGUAAUUAAUAAAUUUGGUUCAGUGGCUAAGAAUUUUUUGCACAUACUUAAGGUCUUUGGUUCAACUCCUAUAUAUAUCAUUUUUAAACAUAUAUUAUGAAGGUCCUUGGUUCAACUCUUAUAUAUAUCAUUUUUAAACAUAUAUGUAUAACAUAUAUUAUGGAGGGUGUGCUCUACCCGCUCCGCAGGCCAACCCUCUCUGCGCCCAACCCUACUCGCAGCGGAUCAGAUUGGGUACCCGCGGAUAGGUUUCAUGCUGCCAGGCCUACAACUGAUUUCCUUAUGCAUUCUAUUAAAAUGAUCGAUCAAGGCACGAUAUUAUCUAUAUAAUAUAGCAUUAUAUUUUUCUAUUUUUAUCUCUCACUUACAGAAUGUAGAUCAAAAUGAUUUACGUUAUAAAACAUAAUAACCUUAGGAAAUGAAGUCGUGGUGACUAACUUUAAGCAUAUUCGCCUGUAAAUUACAGAAUAACAUAUUGAACAUUUCUAGUCAGUUCUCAUGCAUCAUUUUAAAUUAUACAGAUAGCAUUGUAUUUGAUGUCAUUUUGAUCUUUUCCUAGUUGGUAAAAGUUGGGAGCAUUGCAACCACAUAUUGUUGAUACUGAUAACAAUGGACGUUAAUCCUGCUUGACAUCUACACUUGCAGGUUUAAUAGGUUCUACUUGAGCUGGUUCAGUAUCUGCCUCAACCUGCCAUAACAUUAAGGUUUAGAGUAAAAAUUAUUCAUAAAGUUUAUGAAGUUGAAGCAUUCAUACAAAAAUACAAAUAUAAUACAGCGCAUGCAUAAUGCAACACCUCUGAUGUGUGUUCCAUCUUCCAUGAGCGUUUACAAUCACUCGUUUUCUCUUAAAAUGUUUGAUAAGUAUGUAAAACGUUAAGACUUAAGAAUAAGUGAGUGUGGAUGCUCUUUAUACAGAUUGCUUCUGACUUAAUUUGAUAUCACUCCAGGAAUUUCACAUCAAUCACCCUGUUUAUUCAUAAGGAUUAGGUUUUCCACUUUUCCUUAUUGCAUAUCAUAUUGUUGGUGGCAGCUCCAGAACAAAUCACAAAUCAAAGAUAGUGCCAUGCAUAUGCUAGGCAACAAGAUUCAGAACCAAUACCAAAUCUAAAUUCUAAACUCCUGUUAUAAGCUGUAAGAGAUAAGCUUGAAAGUAGAAUACAAAAUAUCAUUUUGUUCAACAGCUUUCCAUAACAUUAUGUAUCCAAGUUACUAAAGAGACACUGAGGAGAUUAAUGGGGUUCAUGAUCCAAUACACCAUUGGCUAUUUCCUGUAAACAAAGUGUUAAUUCUCUCUUACAACCAGGAUGAAAUCAUGGACAACUAUGCUACUAGAAAUUCAAAGAAUUUACCUUAAAAAUGACCACAAAUUCUCUAUCAUUAUAAUUAAAAUGGGAUUUCUCAUUAUGAUACACUUAAAAUUUUGGUUUGGAGAAAGUUUGCGCCACUUCAAUUUCAUGGAAUGCCCCCACAACUCAUUAGAUGUUCAUAAAAAAAAUAUUUACAAGUGAGUUGCU